UGGGGAAUUUUGGACAAUGGGCGCAAGCCUGAUCCAGCAAUGCCGCGUGCAGGAUGAAGGCCUUCGGGUUGUAAACUGCUUUUGUACGGAACGAAAAGGCUCUGGUUAAUACCUGGGGCUCGUGACGGUACCGUAAGAAUAAGCACCGGCUAACUACGUGCCAGCAGCCGCGGUAAUACGUAGGGUGCAAGCGUUAAUCGGAAUUACUGGGCGUAAAGCGUGCGCAGGCGGUUAUGUAAGACAGAUGUGAAAUCCCCGGGCUCAACCUGGGAAUUGCAUUGGAGACUGCAAGGCUAGAAUCUGGCAGAGGGGGGUAGAAUUCCACGUGUAGCAGUGAAAUGCGUAGAUAUGUGGAGGAACACCGAUGGCGAAGGCAAUCCCCUGGGCCUGCACUGACGCUCAUGCACGAAAGCGUGGGGAGCAAACA
rnacentral:rRNA from 1 species